CGUCAGCGUGCGCGGAUAUCAUAACCGGGCUGUCUCGAGGGUUCACUUUUAUAUUAAACAACCUGUUGUGGAUAUGGUAUCAGCGAAAACAAAAUACAAAAUAGUACAUUGACAUUAGCCAGCAUCAUCAGGUUUUAUUCUGUGAGGAUAUACUAAAGGAGGCCACAAAGAUAAAAAGGGAGAGAGAGAGAAAGAAAAAAAAGAGAGAGAGAGAGGGAGAGUACUCAGGGCUCUCCUGACUGUUACGUCUAGAUAUGCGUUUGCGAGUUGCGUUGGGUCGCGCUGCGCUCCCGUAACUGUAUCCGCGUCCGUCAGCGCAACUUUCGUGCUACAAGCGCCUCCAUCUGAGCAACCCCACCACUAGUUACGUUUCCUCGCAUCCCGCCAACCACCACCGAUAUGAGACUCACCACUACACACUUUAAUAUAACUACUCGUGCGCCCUCCGCCGACGUUGACGUUGUACCAAACUAUUCCCAAUGCAUUUUCGUCCUCAUGCACAUACACUAUCUACAAUAAUACUACUUCCAUCAACGCUUACACCAGUCUUUCAAGUAGUAGACACCAAUACUAAUAAUCGGCUAGCCGGAUUCGUUUAUACCACUUUCAGUAUACAACAUUUAUUCUAUCUUAUGCACAUACAUACUUAUAUACUUAUAUAUACACUUCCGAAUAACAGAUAUUUGUAUUAUUGUAUUAGUAGAAUGCAACGCAGAAAUUAUCAAUAAAUUCAAUUGAAUUUUCAGCUCGAGAGUCUGCCAAUCAGGAAAAAUUACUUCAAGUUUUGUGCUCUGGUUGAUAUCAUAAUGGCACCAAUCCGCUGAAUAGAUAUACUUAUAUGACCAUGACACUCUUAAUAGAAGACAAUUCGUUGCAUUGUACUUUUUAUAUACUAAUAUGAUUAAAAAAUUCAACGCAUCAACUAAAAAUGGAGAAAUAGUAUCUGCAUGCCUGUACUAAUGUAUUAUUCUCAUAAUUUUUUUUUCCUGCAACAUAACUCCAUCGGUAAUCUUAGAACUCCAACAUCAAUGCGAAACUGAUUAAGUAAAUAAAUUACUCUGCGCAACAGCUCCACCCAACUUUGAGGUUAUAUCGAUUUCUUCAGAGAAUAUUGAAGUGUCUAAAUUUAAAAAGAACUUAUAGUGGACUCAUUUUAAUAAAUAUUGCUGUAAUCAUUUUGUUUUUAUUAUUAUUAUUUUAACAAUUAGAUUUCUGUGGUUUUAUCGAAAACUUUGUACUUUAUCAUGCCAAGGUCGAGGAAAUUAAAAAUUUUUUCUGAUAGUUAACAACUGUUGCGGUCUAGAUUUGAUUACUCAGAAGUUGACGAAGUAGUUUUAAGAAAAAAAUCUUUGACGUAAGGAGCUAUUACUACUUUGAAUUUCGGUAUAAUGACGAUACAAUAAUAAG